rnacentral:rRNA from 1 species
AUGGCGAAGCGCGGCGUCGCCGGCGGCGAGCCAAUUCCGCUGUCGCGGUUCGGCGCUCUGGUGGCGCAGCUGGAGUCCGUGGUGGCGUCGGCCAGGCAGAAGCCCCCCGACGCGCUCCUCUGCUUCGACCUCCUCUCCGAGCUCUCCUCCGCCCUCGACGAGGCCCCCAAGGACACCAUCCAACUUUGGCAAAGGAAAUGCGAGGAUGCUCUCCAGUCCUUGCUUGUCUUUGGUGCUUGCCGCCCUGUUCGACGGUUGGCGUCAUCAGCAAUGGGGCGGAUAAUUCAGAAAGGUGAUGCAAUAUCAGUAUACUCAAGGGCGAGCACCUUGCAGGGGUGGUUGGUAGAUGUGAAAAGAGCGGAUCCCAUGGCAUGUGCAGGUGCAGCGCAAUGCCUAGGAGAAAUUUACCACUUAUUCGGGCGCAAGAUUACCGCAGGAUUGAUUGAGACAUCAAACAUCGUAGGAAAACUGAUGAAGUAUCAUGAGGACUUUGUAAGGCAAGAUGCACUCCUCUUGCUUGAGAAUGCAUUGGAAGGCUCUGGUGGUGGUGGUAGUGGUGCAGCUUACCUGGAGGCUUUCCGCAUAAUCAUGCGAGGAGGCAUAAGUGACAAAUCAUAUAUUGUUAGAGUAGCAGCAGCGCGAUGCUUGAAGGCCUUUGCUAAUAUAGGUGGGCCUGGGUUGGGGAUGGCUGAACUUGAUACUUCAAUGUCUUGUUGUGUUAAGGGCUUGGAAGAUAAUGUGUCAGCAGUUAGAGAUUCAUUUGCAGAAGCACUUGGUGCCAUACUUGCUCUUGCAGUGAACCCAGAUGCACAGGUAACUAAAGGAGGAAAAAAGCAAAAUGCUUCUGCAAAGAAAUUUGAUGAUGGUAUACAGAAGCAUUUAAUUUUGCCAUUUGUUAAAGCAAAUGGAGCCAAUGCAAAGAAACUCCGAGUUGGUUUGUCCCUAUCGUGGGUGUUCUUUUUGCAGAUGAUCCAUAUGAAGUACGGUACCCUGGACAGUGAACUUCAAAACUAUGCUGUACAAGUGAUGGAAAUUCUCCAAGGGAAUGGUUCUCCUGAUCCACACGCAUUGGCAUGUGUGCUAUAUGUCCUCCGAGUUGGUUUUGCUGACCAGAUGACCGAGCCAACACAGGGUGAAUUUUUGGUAUUUCUGGGAAAAAAGUUGGAGUCUUCAAAUUAUUCUGCUCCGACGAGAGUGACAACAUUACGCAUUCUAUCUUACCUCUUGAGAAGCUUGGGCGAGGUUCCAUCUGAAUUCAAGGAUAUUCUUGAUAACACAGUCGUUGCAGCAUUAUCUCAUUCUUCAGCAAAUGUUCGUGUCGAGGCUGCUUUAACAUUGCGUGCUUUAGCGGAAGUUGAUCCGACAUGUGUUGGCGGUUUAGUCUCAUAUGGUAUUACAACAUUACAUGCUCUCAGGGAGACUUUAUCAUUUGAUAAGGGUAAAAAUCUGAACCAUGAGCUUGAUUCGCUACAUGGACAGGCUACUGUGUUAGCUACUCUCGUUGCGAUCUCGCCAAAGUUACUUCUUGGUUACCCUGCAAGGCUGCCCAAUUCCGUACUUGAGUUGUCCAAAAAGAUGCUGAAUGGCUUCAGCCGAAACCCAGUGGCUGCUAUAGCAGAGCGUGAAGCUGGCUGGUUGUUAUUAGCUUCUCUUUUAGCAUCCAUGCCAAAAGAGGAGCUGGAAGAUCAAGUGUUUGAUGUUCUUUUGCUAUGGGCUAGUCCUUUUACUGGAAAUCCUGAGUCGUACCUUAGUCAUAUACAGGACUGGGCAUCAGAACUGCGCGUUCUGUCGGUUGCAAUCGAGGCGCUUACUGCUUUCAUAAGAAGCUUCGUUUCUCCUAUUAUCGCAACUGCUAAUGGUGGAAUCUUACUUAACCCUGUCCUGGCCUACCUUGGUGGAGCUUUAUCCCUUAUAUCUUCGUUGAGCACUAAGCAACUGCCAAAUCUCAAGUCUGCACUGAAUCUCUUCACAACUAGAACACUGAUGGCGUAUCAGUCUCUUUCCAAUCCAGUGGUUUAUCAAUCAGAGCAUGAGCAAAUGCUUCAGCUGUGUUCAAGCCCAUUCAGUGACCCUUCCGGAUGGGAAGAAAGCUCAUGCUUGAAGUUUCUGUUAGAUAAGAGAGAUGCUUCUUUGGGCCCGUGGAUACCUGGAAGGGAUUCAUUUGAGGAUGAACUACGAGCUUUUGAUGGUGGUGUUGAUGGAUUUCUACCAUGUGUGUGGGAUGAUGAAAUCAGCAACUUUCCUCAGCCAGAAUCAGUAAGCAAAAUGCUGGUUAAUCAGAUGCUUCUGUGCUAUGGUUCUAUCUUUGCAUGUCAGGACAAUACUGCCAAGAUAAGACUCCUGAACAAUAUUGACCAGUGCCUCAAGGCUGGGAAGAAGUACUCUUGGUAUAUGUUUCUUGUUUCAAAUGCCUGUGUUGCUCUAUUGUCAGGGCUAAAGGAGUUACUGACUUUACGUGGCGCUCAAUCAUUGCCAACUGAUAUAUUUAGUAUGAUCCAAUCUAUAUUCAAGGGCAUCCUAGGGGAGAGUGAAAUUUCUACAGCACAACGGCGGGCAGCAUGUGAGGGUCUUGGUUUACUGGCACGCACUGGGAAUGAUAUAUUCACCGCAAGAAUGGCUCGUUCCCUUCUUGGAGAGCUAGUAACACCAGUGGAUCUGAGCUAUGCAGCAUCGGUUGCACUUUCAUUGGGAUGCAUUCAUCGAACUGCAGGGGGAAUGGCAUUAUCUACUCUGGUCACUCUAACUGUGAACUCGCUGUCUCAUUUGAGUAAGAGUUCUAAUUCUAACCUGCAGUUGUGGUCACUCCAUGCUCUUCUUUUGACCAUCGAAGCUGCUGGCUUGUCUUACGUCUCCCAGGUUCAGGGGACACUUUUCCUUGCUAUGGAAAUUCUUCUGUUGGAAGAAAAUGGUUACGUGGAUUUUAGACAGGAAAUAGGCCAUCUUAUCAAUGCAAUAGUGGCAGUUCUCGGUCCUGAACUUGCUCCGGGUAGCAUAUUCUUUUCACGCUGCAAGUCUGUCAUUGCAGAGAUAAGCUCCUCAAAUGAAACGGCUACACUUCUAGAAUCAGUUAGGUUUGCUCAGCAGCUUGUUCUUUUUGCUCCUCAAGCUGUUCCUGUGCAUUCCCAUGUUCGAAGUCUUGUCCCAACGCUUUUCUCAAGACAGCCAAGCCAUAGGUAUUUAGCAGUGUCGACAUUGCGUCAUCUGAUCGAAAGAGACCCGGCUGCAAUGAUCAAUGAGAACAUCGAAGAGAAUCUGUUCAGUAUGCUUGAUGGGGAAACCGACUCAGAAAUAGCAACAUUGGUUCGGGCUACUAUUAUUCGCUUAUUAUAUACAUCAUGUCCACUGCAUCCAUCUCGAUGGUUAGCCGUUCUGCGGAAUAUGGUUCUUGCUACAUCAGUUACAAGAAAUACGAGUGAAGGUCUGACCAGUUCUGGAUAUGAUUCCGUUGACAGUACACAUGAGAAUGAUGUGUAUGGAGAAGAUGACGACAAUAUGAUUUCCGGCCCAAAGCAGGAGCAAGUAAACUGGUCUGCUCCUAUAUCGAGUCAGUUUUCUCGAAGAAAUAAGCACCUCAGAUACCGCACUAGGGUAUUUGCAGCAGAAUGUGUUAGCCAUGUACCGGUUGCAGUUGGAACAGAACCAGCUCAUUUUGAUCUCUUGUUGGCAAGGAGUGCAAUAGCUAAGGGGACUUAUUUAUCAAAUGAUUGGCUCGUGCUUAAGCUACAGGAGUUGGUCUCGCUUUCGUAUCAGAUAAGUACUGGACAGUUUGAGGGCAUGCAACCGAUAGGCGUGCAGCUUUUAUGUUUGAUUAUGGACAAGUUUGGCAUGACAGUGGAUCCUGAAUUUCCUGGACAUAUCUUGUUAGAACAAUUUCAGGCUCAGCUUGUUUCAGCUGUUAAAACGGCAAUAAGUACUACUUCUGGUCCACUUCUAUUGGAGGCUGGCCUUGAACUUGCUACAAAGGUUAUGACGAGCAGCGUCAUUGGUGGGGACAAAGUAGCCCUUAAUCGUCUCUUUUUGCUAAUAUCCCGUCCACUAAGUGAUAUAGAGGACCUUUUUUACCCAUCUUUUGCUGACUGGGUUGUGUGUAAGAUCAAAGUGCGCCUUCUUACAGCGCAUGCUGCAGUAAAAUGUUACACCUAUCAAUUCUUGAGGGCAAAGGAAAAUGUUCCUGAUGAACACCAGCAGCUGGCACCUUUACUAGCAAAUAGCUCAACGCUAUUGGGGAAAUAUUGGGUUGGAGCCCUCAAGGAUUACUUUUCUAUAAUCUUUGGCUUGCAUUCAAGAAUUAAUCACAAGCCAUUCCUUGAUGGAAUUCAGUCAUUAUUGGUCUCGUUGAAGGUACAGAAGUAUCUUGAUGAAGUUUGGGCACUGAUUCUCCAGGCAACAGCUCUUGAUGCAGCUCCUGUGGAGUUCGGCGCGGAUGAUUCUGAAGAUGUUCAUGAACACAUGUUUAUCUCUGGACGUAGUAUGGUCAAAUUGGAGCAAAGUGAUUUCCAGUUUCUCUGGGGACUAUCUGUCCUUGUGCUAUUUCAUUCACACCAAUCAACGGUGAAUGGUUCUGUCAAGAUGAAGCUUGACUGUAGCAAAGAGAAUUUUUUUUCGAACAUUGUUUUCUAUGGACUAGAUAAUCCAAGGCCAUGUGAUCAAGUCUUACCUGUGUUAUUGUCCCUCACAACUGAAGCCUUUUUCAGCAAGGAUUUCCUUUCAGUCGAUAUUUGCCAGGAACUCCUUCAGGCUCUAAUAUAUGCUGAUUGCUCUGGUGCUCCUGUUGUAUCUCUGUUCUCAAAGAUUAUAAGACUCUGCCCUGACAAGUUUUUUGAGGAGGAAGACUUUGUCUUUGUUGCAUUAGAGUUAUACUCUCAUUGUCUUGCCAUGGUACUUCGAAGCAGGGAUGGAAAUUCCCAGGAAUUGCCAAGUAACAACUUACUUCCUGAACUAUCUUCUGCAAGUGAGACUAUGGGUUGCCGAAUGAACAAUAAGCAUUUGUGGAAGCUAAUGAUGGUACUGCUAUCCACAUCGCAUCAAUCGUCUCAACUAGUCUCGACUGAUCAGUGCUUGUCAAAUAUCAUCUCCUUUCUGCAUAAUAUCUUGCCUUUCAUGAAGAAGUGCUUUAGAGAAAGAGCUGAACCAGGUGAUGUGCACACCAAUCCGCAAGUUGCAUUAGGAGCUUUGAUUAGCCUGUUGGCAUACUUCUGUACAGAAUGUGAUAAUAGGAUUUCAAUGCUGGAAAACAAGAUUUCUGAUUCCUACAGGCUGUUGGCGAAGAUACUAUUUUUUUGUUCCGGAGAAGUCAUUGCUCUUGCAAAACUUGUUCACGAGAUUGAAUUUCUUAAUGAAAAUGGUGCUAAGAAUGAUGUGCAUAUGUGUGGCAGCUUUAGGCAUUGCAUACACAUUAUUCAGGGAUCACUUCGUAGCACCAACAUGCAGGUUCAAAUGCUGGGGAUACAUGUGCUGAAAACUUGUGCUCAGAGAGAGCUAACUGAAGUUUCACAAACAGAGACUCAUUCUUUUAUGAUAUUGCUUGGGGAAUUACUAGGAGAUGUGUUUGAUUUGAUGCAAACUGCAUUGAAGAAUUGUUCAAGCCAGGAAUCUGUCAAUGUGAUUGAUGAUUGUUUAAAAUUGCUUUUCCUCUUCCACACACUAGCACAAUCACAGAAAUACCAGCAAGAGGCUACAGUACUUCUGUUGGAUGCCUUACUGAUGGUUUUCUAUUUGUCCGAUGAGAAUGCUUCACAGGAACUUACUGAAGUAAAUACCAUCUCCAAGAAGUUGUUCUCUCAUUUUAUUCAGAUUCCGUCAGCCGCCAUACAGAUCAAAGAUGUAAUGCUGUCAGCACCACCUACAAAAAGACAGCAGCUUCAGGACAUGAUCCGGGCUUCAGUAAGCCAUGGUCAGAUCAUGGUGCCGUUGAAUACGAGUGCACAAUCACAGCAGAAUGUUCAGGAUAGCACUAAAAAACCUGUGUCUGUAGCCAUAGCGUCUGGUGCUGAUGCAGUCGAAGAGAAGGAUGGAAAUGAAGUUAGCGAUGAUGACUGGGAUGAUGAUUGGGACACUUUCCAAUCUCUUCCCGCAACUGCUGCCAAGGAUGAUGCAGAUUCUGCUAUAGUUGUUUCACCUAUUCCUGAACAGGGCUCCGUUGCAAGUUCUCAAGAACAGAUCCAUCAGGGAAAUACUAAUCAUGAUAUUGGUGAUAUGGAUGUAGCAGUGGGCACAAUAGAAGGCAGAAAAUCUGCUGACAGAGUAUUUGAGGAAGCCUCUGCUUCACAAUGCUCUAGCCCUAAGCCACAGAUCAAUAGAGAAUCCCUAGAGUCGUCAUAUGAAGAUGAUGAUGAAGUUCCAAGAUAUCCAACAGUUGAUUGCCUGGAGCAACCGGCGGAUGUUCUGAUGAAUGAUAAGACACUGAGUGAAUUGCCGCAGGACCAUGACAACCAGUUUGGUUGUAACGAAAGAAAUAAUGGUGACCUGGAAGAUGAGGGCACUGAUUCAGCUAUCGAAGAUAACAAGAAGGAUGCUCUUCGAGGAACUCGAAGCUCCGAGGGAGAUGCCCUAGAUGAAAAUAUUGCUUGCAGAAAUGAUUCCACUAACAGUUUGAACAAGAGUUCAAAUGUUGUGGUUAAUGAGGGCAGCGACAUGCCAUCAACUGUUGAUACCAAGGAGUCUGGGGAAGAGUUAGCACCUUCCUCUCAUGUCCCUGGUACGACGAAUGCUAGCUUAUCUGGGAAUGAUAUCAGUACAAGCAAUGCAAGCGAACACCCUGGUAGUGCCGACACCAAACCAGAAUCAUCCGUAGGUGAAAGCUCAGAAUCAUAA